rnacentral:siRNA from 1 species
ACUUGUUCGGACCUCGCAACA